rnacentral:sRNA from 1 species
CGUAAUUGAUGGCACAUUAUUCUAGUCAAUUACUUUAUUAUGAAGACGAGCUUAAAAAUUCGUUAAAAGGCAUAUCUGUGAAACCUUUGGUGUCUGCUUCUUACGCCCAGUUUGGGGUGGAUGCUGAAGAUGAGAAUCAUGGGAGAUUCAUAAUGGCAUAUGAAUUCGACCCAUUAUUCGUGGAGACCAAUUAUUGUGGUAAAUCUAUACGAACAACUUCUGAUGAUUUAUUACGGAAUUGGAUAUAAACCUGUAUUGUGGCGAAAACUAUGUACAGCGUAGCCUGUCUUGCGUGAAGAUUUUGGGAUAAAUGAUCUUUUUUAUUUAGGCGGCCACCUAUAAUAAAAAUUGCAUUUUGAAAUAAUCUUUGCAAAAAAGAAUUAAUAAUAAAGUGUUGGAGAGGAAAUCUCCUAGGGUGUAUUUCAAUAUAAGAUUGCAGUGGGCACUAAGUGGUAAUCAAGUCGUAUGUUUGGAAACAACAUAUUGAUUCUUUUAAAGGGGAACCGCUAAUCUGGUAACGGAUUUGUAAGAAUCAGGGAAAUCCUACUUGACCUAUGGCCCAAAGUUAAUUAUAUUGAAUGCCAAACAAUUUUAG